GUUUGUGAUAAAACGAGACACACAUUGGGGAGGGAAGAUCCAUACAUAGAUCGUGACCCAGCCUCCUACUCGGUACAGUAACUUUCCCUGUUCCAAGAGGAACAAGUACACAGGGGCUCUUGUGAUUAAAAAAACAAAAACAAAUUGAUGGGGUCUAAAAACAUAGAGACAUGGGACUGUGAGAAAAUAACUUCAAGGGUGAGAGGCUAACUUGACGAAGAAGGGCUACGCCAUGUUACAUCCUGGCCAGAAACGUCGACUCUCUUGGGAUUUCAUCGUCUCCAUUGAGAAAGGUAGCCAGCCUAUAGGCCUAUCACCCCUGGACCACGAAAAUCACCACCUCUUUGUCUGUUCUCGUGUUAAGCGCAAGAUGUUCGUGGUGGGGGCUCAGAGCAGUGUGAAUAACUACUACUGACGUAACUCACAAAACAGAUGGACGUGACAUAUGAAGAGUGCUGAAUGUAUUUCUAUCCUAAUUUACAAUUACAUGUGGAAUUGUUGUAUUCAUUUGAUGGGUAUAGACUGUAAGUCAUGUCCCUUUGAUGCACGCUCAUAAGAUCUCAAAUGCUGAAAUAUCUUUUCAUUGGUUGUAAACGUUUUUGCCACAUUUUUGUUGUUGUUGCUGUCUUUAAUUUAGAGAUGAAUUCUGAUGGACCUUUAUAAAAUGGCACUAUAGUUGGUAAAGUUAAGUCAUAAGCUAUCUAAGCAGGAUGAUACAUAAAAUAGGCUACCUCUUAAUGAAUAACCCCUGUUUGAGUAAUAUCCUAUCACCUGAAGAGAUAUAUUAAUAAUGUAAGAAUAUUCUGUCAAUUUGCUACUAUGCCAAAUAGGCUACGUUACAAAAGUGAGAUAAACGUCUGAAACGCCAGUUCAUCCAAGCCAUUACGUAGGCGCUACCUAUCACGUAUAUAUCGAAUGAUCUUCACUUCUGUCAAAGAAUGCAAAUGGUUGAAUGAUGACUUGUCAAAAGUCAAUCGUUUUUUCCUACUGUGCACAUUUUGCUGAGCACAUUGCAUUGGUAAAAUGUUCUAAGGCAUUUGUGGUUUGUUCAUAUUUCAUGUUUAGUUUACAUGUCGGUGCAGGCAUACAGCUAAUAGACUAUGGCGACAGCGGGGUGUCUUCCAGGCAAGAAUAUCCCAGGAUACACUGUUGUGAGACGCUCUGUCUGGAUUGCAGGCUGACGCACUGUACAUCAAAAUGCCCAACAACAAGUCUACAUUUUUCCACAGUCGUGACAUCGCGCAAAGGAGACGCAUAUUCUCUCAAUAAUCAUGUUCGAGAUGUCAUUGUGGCUCACAAAUGUACAGUGCAACGGAAUAAAAUGUUAGAAAUU
ensembl:lncRNA